rnacentral:lncRNA from 1 species
AUGAAAUGGGAUACAAGUCUAAUAACUUAUUCAUGGUAAGAUUCUAGAUGAGCUAUAGCAUGCCUGUGAUUGGACGAUGUAUCUGUGACGUCGAGCGAACCGGCAACAGGCGCAAUCGACGGCGCUUGCACCAUUACGGCGCACAUAUCACGGCGCUAGGUUCCCAUCAUUUCGAUAUCGUUCCUUCGCGCGACAGAUUGGUAACAAGUGCUUUGUGCGAUAUAUCUGUAACGAGUGCUUUGCGCUCAUUAUGCUCAUUAGAAAAAUAUUUCUUAAUUCUGUUAAAAUAAACAUUUUAAUCUUUCAUUUUUUGUUACAUUUUCACCAAAAUUUUAGAAGAAAAGAGCAAAAAGUGAAACAUAAAUACC